CCUUCCCCUAGAAAUGCUGCAGGUGUGUCUGCUAUGUCACAUGUGUGUCACUAGGUGGCAGAGAAGAGAGAGGCUAUGUCUAUGCUCAGUGCUCUGACCUAUGAACAUCUGAAUGAUCAGGAGCCUGACAUU